AUUGAACGCUGGCGGCAUGCCUUACACAUGCAAGUCGAACGGCAGCAUAGGAGCUUGCUCCUGAUGGCGAGUGGCGAACGGGUGAGUAAUAUAUCGGAACGUGCCCUAGAGUGGGGGAUAACUAGUCGAAAGACUAGCUAAUACCGCAUACGAUCUACGGAUGAAAGUGGGGGAUCGCAAGACCUCAUGCUCCUGGAGCGGCCGAUAUCUGAUUAGCUAGUUGGUGGGGUAAAAGCCUACCAAGGCAACGAUCAGUAGCUGGUCUGAGAGGACGACCAGCCACACUGGGACUGAGACACGGCCCAGACUCCUACGGGAGGCAGCAGUGGGGAAUUUUGGACAAUGGGGGCAACCCUGAUCCAGCAAUGCCGCGUGAGUGAAGAAGGCCUUCGGGUUGUAAAGCUCUUUUGUCAGGGAA
rnacentral:rRNA from 1 species